AGUGAACGCUGGCGGUAGGCCUAACACAUGCAAGUCGAACGGCAGCACAGUAAGAGCUUGCUCUUACGGGUGGCGAGUGGCGGACGGGUGAGGAAUACAUCGGAAUCUAUUUUUUCGUGGGGGAUAACGUAGGGAAACUUACGCUAAUACCGCAUACGACCUACGGGUGAAAGCAGGGGAUCUUCGGACCUUGCGCGAUUGAAUGAGCCGAUGUCGGAUUAGCUAGUUGGCGGGGUAAAGGCCCACCAAGGCGACGAUCCGUAGCUGGUCUGAGAGGAUGAUCAGCCACACUGGGACUGAGACACGGUCCAGACUCCUACGGGAGGCAGCAGUGGGGAAUAUUGGACAAUGGGCGCAAGCCUGAUCCAGCCAUACCGCGUGGGUGAAGAAGGCCCUCGGGUUGUAAAGCCCUUUUGUUGGGAAAGAAAAGCAGCAGGUUAAUACCCCGCUGUUCUGACGGUACCCAAAGAAUAAGCACCGGCUAACUUCGUG
rnacentral:rRNA from 1 species